GGAGCAAACAGGAUUAGAUACCCUGGUAGUCCACGCUGUAAACGAUGUCGAUUUGAAGGUUGUUCCCUUGAGGAGUGGCUUUCGGAGCUAACGCGUUAAAUCGACCGCCUGGGGAGUACGGCCGCAAGGUUAAAACUCAAAUGAAUUGACGGGGGCCCGCACAAGCGGUGGAGCAUGUGGUUUAAUUCGAUGCAACGCGAAGAACCUUACCUACUCUUGACAUCCAGAGAACUUAGCAGAGAUGCUUUGGUGCCUUCGGGAACUCUGAGACAGGUGCUGCAUGGCUGUCGUCAGCUCGUGUUGUGAAAUGUUGGGUUAAGUCCCGCAACGAGCGCAACCCUUAUCCUUUGUUGCCAGCGAUUCGGUCGGGAACUCAAAGGAGACUGCCGGUGAUAAACCGGAGGAAGGUGGGGAUGACGUCAAGUCAUCAUGGCCCUUACGAGUAGGGCUACACACGUGCUACAAUGGCGUAUACAAAGAGAAGCGACCUCGCGAGAGCAAGCGGAACUCAUAAAGUACGUCGUAGUCCGGAUUGGAGUCUGCAACUCGACUCCAUGAAGUCGGAAUCGCUAGUAAUCGUAGAUCAGAAUGCUACGGUGAAUACGUUCCCGGGCCUUGUACACACCGCCCGUCACACCAUGGGAGUGGGUUGCAAAGGAAGUAGGUAGCUUAACCUUCGGGAGGGCGCUUACCACUUUGUGAUUCAUGACUGGGGUGAAGUCGUA
rnacentral:rRNA from 1 species